GGGGUUGUGGCUCAGUGGUAGAGUGCUUGUCUCGCACACAUGAGGCACUGGGUUUGAUCCUCAGCACCACA
rnacentral:tRNA from 1 species